UAUGUGCAGGUGCCUGGCCUCAGUGGCAGCAGUGCCUGCCUGCUGGUGUUAGUGUGUCAGGAGACUGAGUGAAUCUGGGCUUAGGAAGUUCUUACCCCUUUUCGCAUCAGGAAGUGGUUUAACCCAACCACUGUCAGGCUCGUCUGCCCGCCCUCUCGUGGGGUGAGCAGAGCACCUGAUGGAAGGGACAGGAGCUGUCUG
rnacentral:lncRNA from 1 species